AUGAACGCUAGCUACAGGCUUAACACAUGCAAGUCGAGGGGCAGCAUGGUCUUAGCUUGCUAAGGCCGAUGGCGACCGGCGCACGGGUGAGUAACACGUAUCCAACCUGCCGUCUACUCUUGGACAGCCUUCUGAAAGGAAGAUUAAUACAAGAUGGCAUCAUGAGUCCGCAUGUUCACAUGAUUAAAGGUAUUCCGGUAGACGAUGGGGAUGCGUUCCAUUAGAUAGUAGGCGGGGUAACGGCCCACCUAGUCUUCGAUGGAUAGGGGUUCUGAGAGGAAGGUCCCCCACAUUGGAACUGAGACACGGUCCAAACUCCUACGGGAGGCAGCAGUGAGGAAUAUUGGUCAAUGGGCGAGAGCCUGAACCAGCCAAGUAGCGUGAAGGAUGACUGCCCUAUGGGUUGUAAACUUCUUUUAUAAAGGAAUAAAGUCGGGUAUGGAUACCCGUUUGCAUGUACUUUAUGAAUAAGGAUCGGCUAACUCCGUGCCAGCAGCCGCGGUAAUACGGAGGAUCCGAGCGUUAUCCGGAUUUAUUGGGUUUAAAGGGAGCGUAGAUGGAUGUUUAAGUCAGUUGUGAAAGUUUGCGGCUCAACCGUAAAAUUGCAGUUGAUACUGGAUAUCUUGAGUGCAGUUGAGGCAGGCGGAAUUCGUGGUGUAGCGGUGAAAUGCUUAGAUAUCACGAAGAACUCCGAUUGCGAAGGCAGCCUGCUAAGCUGCAACUGACAUUGAGGCUCGAAAGUGUGGGUAUCAAACAGGAUUAGAUACCCUGGUAGUCCGCACGGUAAACGAUGAAUACUCGCUGUUUGCGAUAUACAGCAAGCGGCCAAGCGAAAGCGUUAAGUAUUCCACCUGGGGAGUACGCCGGCAACGGUGAAACUCAAAGGAAUUGACGGGGGCCCGCACAAGCGGAGGAACAUGUGGUUUAAUUCGAUGAUACGCGAGGAACCUUACCCGGGCUUAAAUUGCAGAUGAAUUACGGUGAAAGCCGUAAGCCGCAAGGCAUCUGUGAAGGUGCUGCAUGGUUGUCGUCAGCUCGUGCCGUGAGGUGUCGGCUUAAGUGCCAUAACGAGCGCAACCCUUGUUGUCAGUUACUAACAGGUUCCGCUGAGGACUCUGACAAGACUGCCAUCGUAAGAUGUGAGGAAGGUGGGGAUGACGUCAAAUCAGCACGGCCCUUACGUCCGGGGCUACACACGUGUUACAAUGGGGGGUACAGAGGGCCGCUACCACGCGAGUGGAUGCCAAUCCCCAAAACCUCUCUCAGUUCGGACUGGAGUCUGCAACCCGACUCCACGAAGCUGGAUUCGCUAGUAAUCGCGCAUCAGCCACGGCGCGGUGAAUACGUUCCCGGGCCUUGUACACACCGCCCGUCAAGCCAUGGGAGCCGGGGGUACCUGAAGUGCGUAACCGCGAGGAGCGCCCUAGGGUAAAACUGGUGACUGGGGCU
rnacentral:rRNA from 1 species